rnacentral:rRNA from 1 species
GAUGAACGCUGGCGGCGUGCCUAAUACAUGCAAGUCGAGCGAACAGAUAAGGAGCUUGCCCCUUUGACGUUAGCGGCGGACGGGUGAGUAACACGUGGGUAACCUACCUAUAAGACUGGAAUAACUCCGGGAAACCGGGGCUAAUGCCGGAUAACAUUUAGAACCGCAUGGUUCUAAAGUGAAAGAUGGUUUUACUAUCACUUAUAGAUGGACCCGCGCCGUAUUAGCUAGUUGGUAAGGUAACGGCUUACCAAGGCAACGAUACGUAGCCGACCUGAGAGGGUGAUCGGCCACACUGGAACUGAGACACGGUCCAGACUCCUACGGGAGGCAGCAGUAGGGAAUCUUCCGCAAUGGGCGAAAGCCUGACGGAGCAACGCCGCGUGAGUGAUGAAGGUCUUCGGAUCGUAAAACUCUGUUAUUAGGGAAGAACAAAUGUGUAAGUAACUGUGCACGUCUUGACGGUACCUAAUCAGAAAGCCACGGCUAACUACGUG